GGGAGUGUAAGGUUUCGACAGAUUAAGAACCAUAUUAUAAGCAAGUAGUAGCGAUACUUUAAAUCUUUUUUAAAUAAUUGGAAAAAAUUAUAGAUUAGCUGCGUAGUAACGUGGUCAUUUACUUAAAAUUUGCUAUGGAUUUUUCGUAAAUGUUAUUUACAUAGCUUGCUUUACGACGAUGGUUAUAGAAGUAAGGGACUAUUAUAACCUAAUUUAAGGACCUUUGGUAGUUUAGCAUCCUUAAAUGAAAAAGUUAAAUUACAUAAACUUGUAGAAGGUAGUAUGUAGUCUUAAUUUGGACACGAGUUCAAUUCUCGUCACUUCCACCA
rnacentral:tmRNA from 1 species